AGAGUUUGAUCAUGGCUCAGGACGAACGCUGGCGGCGUGCCUAAUACAUGCAAGUCGAGCGAGCUUGCCUAGAUGAAUUUGGUGCUUGCACCAAAUGAAACUAGAUACAAGCGAGCGGCGGACGGGUGAGUAACACGUGGGUAACCUGCCCAAGAGACUGGGAUAACACCUGGAAACAGAUGCUAAUACCGGAUAACAACACUAGACGCAUGUCUAGAGUUUAAAAGAUGGUUCUGCUAUCACUCUUGGAUGGACCUGCGGUGCAUUAGCUAGUUGGUAAGGUAACGGCUUACCAAGGCAAUGAUGCAUAGCCGAGUUGAGAGACUGGUCGGCCACAUUGGGACUGAGACACGGCCCAAACUCCUACGGGAGGCAGCAGUAGGGAAUCUUCCACAAUGGACGCAAGUCUGAUGGAGCAACGCCGCGUGAGUGAAGAAGGGUUUCGGCUCGUAAAGCUCUGUUGGUAGUGAAGAAAGAUAGAGGUAGUAACUGGCCUUUAUUUGACGGUAAUUACUUAGAAAGUCACGGCUAACUACGUGCCAGCCGCCGCGGUAA
rnacentral:rRNA from 1 species